UACGAAGGGGGCUAGCGUUGUUCGGAAUCACUGGGCGUAAAGGGCGCGUAGGCGGCCGAUCAAGUCGGGGGUGAAAGCCUGUGGCUCAACCACAGAAUUGCCUUCGAUACUGUUUGGCUUGAGACCGGAAGAGGUAAGUGGAACUGCGAGUGUAGAGGUGAAAUUCGAUAGAUAUUCGCAAGAACACCAGUGGCGAAGGCGGCUUACUGGUCCGGUUC
rnacentral:rRNA from 1 species